rnacentral:lncRNA from 1 species
UCAGCUUAGCUAUUCUUUUAAUUAUAUGCAUCAUAUAUCAUUUACCAUUUCUCCAUAUUGAGUGAAGCAAGGCAUCCACAUUAGUUUAUUCCUCCAAGCUGCCAGAGUAACGCUAAAUCAGAAAAGAGAUGGAUCUCCCUAAUCUGCCUAGGCUGGUCUCAAACUCCUGAGCUCAAGCGACCCUUCUGCCUCAACCUCCAAAAAUGUUGGGAUUACAGGUGUAAGCCACUGUACCUGGCUGGGAAAUAUAAUUUUUUGAAAACAUCUUCUUUCUGCCCAGAAAACCUCUGCAUGAAGAUAGUGGAGGAAAAAAACAGUUGUGUUAUUAAAUAAGCAUUAAACCAGAAUGUGAUACACAUCACAGGCAAUCCACUAAGAGACUGCAG